rnacentral:rRNA from 1 species
AACGAACGCUGGCGGCAUGCCUAACACAUGCAAGUCGAACGAGACCUUCGGGUCUAGUGGCGCACGGGUGCGUAACGCGUGGGAACCUGCCCUUAGGUUCGGAAUACCUCCCCGAAAGGGGUGCUAAUACCGGAUAAUGUCUUCGGACCAAAGAUUUAUCGCCUUUGGAUGGGCCCGCGUUGGAUUAGCUAGUUGGUAGGGUAAAAGCCUACCAAGGCGACGAUCCAUAGCUGGUCUGAGAGGAUGAUCAGCCACACUGGGACUGAGACACGGCCCAGACUCCUACGGGAGGCAGCAGUGGGGAAUAUUGGACAAUGGGCGAAAGCCUGAUCCAGCAAUGCCGCGUGAGUGAUGAAGGCCUUAGGGUUGUAAAGCUCUUUUACCCGGGAUGAUAAUGACAGUACCGGGAGAAUAAGCUCCGGCUAACUCCGU